rnacentral:rRNA from 1 species
GACGAACGCUGGCGGCGUGCUUAACACAUGCAAGUCGAACGGAAAGGCCCUGCUUUUGUGGGGUGCUCGAGUGGCGAACGGGUGAGUAACACGUGAGUAACCUGUCCUUGACUUUGGGAUAACUUCAGGAAACUGGGGCUAAUACCGGAUAGGAGCUCCUGCUGCAUGGUGGGGGUUGGAAAGUUUCGGUGGUUGGGGAUGGACUCGCGGCUUAUCAGCUUGUUGGUGGGGUAGUGGCUUACCAAGGCUUUGACGGGUAGCCGGCCUGAGAGGGUGACCGGCCACAUUGGGACUGAGAUACGGCCCAGACUCCUACGGGAGGCAGCAGUGGGGAAUAUUGCACAAUGGGCGGAAGCCUGAUGCAGCAACGCCGCGUGCGGGAUGACGGCCUUCGGGUUGUAAACCGCUUUCGCCUGUGACGAAGCGUGAGUGACGGUAAUGGGUAAAGAAGCACCGGCUAACUACGUG